ACAGCGCCACAUCUGGUUUUCUGGUGGUUAAUUGACAAUAAGAGUCUCACAGACUUUCUUGCAGGGGCUGGCUUUGAACCUUGAUCCUCAGAUCUCAGCCUCCUGAGUAGCUGGGAUGAUGACAGAUGUGAGCUCCCAGCAUCUGGCUUAG